rnacentral:RNase_P_RNA from 1 species
UCAGGCUACUGGCUAGUCGCGUCCAUCUAUGGUGGACGAGGAAAGUCCGGGCGACAUAGGGAGUGACAGUUGUUAACGACAACCGAGAGUAAUCUUAGGGAAAGUGCCACAGAAACGAUACUACCCAAUUUAUUGGGAAAAGGUGAAACGAGUGGGGUAAAAGCCCACAUUUCUGUGCGGUGACGUACAGAAAUGGUAAACCCUGUCUGUCGCAAGGAUGUUAUGCUUCAAUAGGUACCCGCCGAAGCAUAGCUACAAGAUCCGCUUGAUUCUAUGAGCAAUUAUAGAGCUAGAUAGAUGACUGGCUAAAACAGAACCCGGCUUAUGGGUAGCCUGAUACA